GGAGCUCCCACCGCCCUUCCGUGGUCCCAGCAGCGCCUGAGGGGAACGGGGGGACGGUGCCGCUCGGAGGGGCCGCGCCGCGGCUGAGCGGGCAGAGCUUGCGGGACCGCUGCCGGAUUGAAAAGCAGUUCUGCUUCUACGGGGACUUAGACUGCCCCGACUGGGUGCUGGCUGAGAUCAGCUCCCUGGCCGAAAUCUUUUAAGUGCCCGCCCCCACCCCCAUCCCCCUGCCUGCCCCAGGCCCGCUGCCCACCCUCCUUCUCCUGCGCAGCCCCCGCUGCUGCUGAAGUUCAGCGCUAUUUCAGUACUUGUUCUACUUGUAUUUCUGAAAAAAAGCUAGAAUCAGGAUAGCCAAAGCAACAUAGAAAGUCUAUUCCAUCUUCAGCUACAUUACAGGGCAAAGGAAAUAAGUGAUCCUACCCAUCAGUGGAACAGGGAAAGAAUGAAGAUUAAGUCUGUGAGCUAUAGAAGAGAAAAAUCACACUGUAACAACUUAGAAGAUUGCUCCAAGACCACAGUCACAGGAAAAGGGAAGAGAGCCAGGGGCAGAAACUGUAAGGCCAAAAAGAUGAUGGACACAUCUGUGCAUCAAUCAGGUUCAGAGGUCACUGCAUGCCCCAAGCCUAACGAGUUCUCUGGUUUAUGUGUGUUAUACACCUAUUAAUUACUUGAAUAGAAAAUUUACAAUUGAA